GUGUUUCAUAUAAAUAAGUGAUUUCUGCAGGUGCGUUGCAUCUGUACAUCUCCAGUAUGUUUUCUGAGCUCUGCGUCUGUUGACUCUGUACUUGAAUCCAUUGUGGUAAAGAUUCUGACCUCUAUGAAUGUUGUCAAUCAAUGUAACCCGCACCAUAGCAUUUGCCAUUUUGACAGUGGUAACAAAAUAUUCAU